AAAGAACAAUAGAUUGAAUGGCUUAUAAACAACAGAAAUGUACCUCUCACAGUUGUGGAGGCUGGCAGAAAGAGAACAGGGUGGCAGCACGGUCAGAUUCUGGCAAGGGCCCUUUUACGGUUGCAGACUGCAGUCUUCUUGCAUCCUCACAUGGCAGAAAGAUGGGAGGAGAGUUGCCUGGUACCCUUUUCAACAGCAGCGUUUUAGAUCACAGAGGCUCUGCUCUUAUGACCUGAUCACCUCCCAAAUGUCAGCAGCUCCUGAUACUAGCUCACUGAAGGUUAGGAUUUCAACAUAUGUAUUUGGAGAAAACACAAACUUUCACUCUGUUGUACCUUUCAUUGGCCACCUUGCCUUCUAUUGUGUCACUUUUCUCCCUACUGGCUGCUUCCUCAACCUACCAAAUAAGAACAUAUUAUUAUUCAAAGAAAAGAAAAGGAAGAGAGAGAGAAACAUCAUAUGGUACAAACUGCAGCCUGGUGAAUUAAAAGAAAAGGUUUAUUCAUAGCUUGAUUUGCCACAACAUAAACUUCCCUCGGUGCAAUUGAGAAUGGAGCAGGAUGGGUGUAUCCUGACUUAAGAAGGCAUUUGCCACAUGAGUAUCAGUCUGCUAUUUCUCAGGUAAGUCCUGCUUUCUUUAGUUUUGCUUUCUUUUUUCUAAAACAUCUAAAAGGUUUAUAGCAAGUAAAUAUUAUCUGUUUCUCAGGUACUCAACAUCAAAGUAACAUGCAGAUAGAUGGUAGUCACAAUCAUCUUCCAGCAUGAUGAAGAUUGAGAGUAAAAUCCAGCAGUGAGAUUCGGAGUCUGAAGAUGCAAAUAGAAAAUAAAAAC
rnacentral:lncRNA from 1 species